rnacentral:lncRNA from 1 species
AGAUGAGAUUUUCAGCGUUGGUUACCUCAGGCUUCAUGUCCCUUGUCUUCCCAGGGUAAUAGGUUCAAUGAACUGCCUUUGUACCUUGACUGCCAUAGGCCUUGAUACAGACAUUAUUUUCCAUCUGAUAACUUCUGCCUUUCACGUACUUCGGACUAUAUGCUACUUGCACAUUGACUUCUCCUGAUGCUGUCAGAGACAUACGGGAUUGUCUGAACCAAGAGAAUGUCAGCAGUUUUUGUCACCAUGAAAUGCCUCCAAAUGAUAGGAUACACACCUGGCAUACAGCCUGAAGGAAUCAUAAAUCUAAAGGGAAAGGCAAGUCUGGUAUUUGUAUCACUGGAAACAUCAAUUUCCUACAGAGGAACAAUUGGAUUAUAUGAAGCAGACUGAGGAACUAAUCAACAUGCUGAUUCAAUUGAACAUUCAAAAGUGAUGUGUCUGUUUCCUUUGUCACGAGUUAACAUGUUUUUUCAUAUGGAUAUAGUUCAGCUGUGUUGCUAGAAACAUUUUAACCAGUAUUUUAUA